UCCACGCAGUAAACGUUGUACACUAGGUGUAGCGGGUAUUGACCCCUGCUGUGCCGGAGCUAACGCAUUAAGUGUACCGCCUGGGGAGUACGGUCGCAAGACUAAAACUCAAAGAAAUUGACGGGGGCCCGCACAAGCGGUGGAGCAUGUGGUUUAAUUCGACGCAACGCGAAGAACCUUACCUAGCCUUGACGUUGAAGAAACACAGUAGAGAUACAGUGGUGCCCUUCGGG
rnacentral:rRNA from 1 species